CUUCACAACCUUAUCCUGUUGAAUGCACGGGUUCCCAUUUGAUCACUAAAGCUAAGCAACAUUGAGCUUAGUUAGUAUUCAGAUGGGUGACCACUUGGGCAACCUAGGUGUUGUAAACA
rnacentral:rRNA from 1 species